rnacentral:rRNA from 1 species
GACAGAGGGUGCAAACGUUGUUCGGAAUUACUGGGCGUAAAGCGAGUGUAGGCGGUCCGAUAAGUCGGGUGUGAAAGCCCUGGGCUCAACCCAGGAAGUGCACUCGAAACUGCCGGGCUAGAGUAUCGGAGAGGUUGGUGGAAUUCUCGGUGUAGAGGUGAAAUUCGUAGAUAUCGAGAGGAACACCGGUGGCGAAGGCGGCCAACUGGACGAAUACUGACGCUGAGGCGCGAAAGCUAGGGGAGCAAACGGG